AUUGAACGCUGGCGGCAUGCCUUACACAUGCAAGUCGAACGGCAGCACGGGAGCAAUCCUGGUGGCGAGUGGCGAACGGGUGAGUAAUAUAUCGGAACGUGCCCAGUAGUGGGGGAUAACUGCUCGAAAGAGCAGCUAAUACCGCAUACGACCUGAGGGUGAAAGGGGGGGAUCGCAAGACCUCUCGCUAUUGGAGCGGCCGAUAUCAGAUUAGCUAGUUGGUGGGGUAAAGGCCUACCAAGGCAACGAUCUGUAGUUGGUCUGAGAGGACGACCAGCCACACUGGGACUGAGACACGGCCCAGACGCCUACGGGAGGCAGCAGUGGGGAAUUUUGGACAAUGGGCGCAAGCCUGAUCCAGCAACGCCGCGUGCAGGAAGAAGGCCUUCGGGUUGUAAACUGCUUUUGUCAGGGAAGAAAUCCUCUAGGUUAAUACCCUUGGGGGGAUGACGGUACCUGAAGAAUAAGCACCGGCUAACUACGUGCCAGCCGCCGCAGUAACAC
rnacentral:rRNA from 1 species